AUAUUUGAAAUAAUUUAUUAUAUUCAGUUUCGACCUGAAAAUUAAGUUAAUCUUUUUAACUCAAAUAUA
rnacentral:tRNA from 1 species